rnacentral:rRNA from 1 species
UGCAGUCGAGCGAGAAGCGCAUUGACGGAGGCUUCGGCCAAAGUCGCGCGUGGAAAGCGGCGGACGGGUGAGUAACGCGUAGGCAACCUGCCCUUGACACAGGGAUAGCCUCGGGAAACCGGGAUUAAAACCUGAUAAAACCCUUCCUUCUCCUGAAGGAAGGGUCAAAGAUUUAUCGGUCAAGGAUGGGCCUGCGUCUGAUUAGUUAGUUGGUGGGGUAACGGCUUACCAAGGCGACGAUCAGUAGCCGACCUGAGAGGGUGAUCGGCCACAUUGGAACUGAGACACGGUCCAAACUCCUACGGGAGGCAGCAGUGGGGAAUCUUGCACAAUGGGCGAAAGCCUGAUGCAGCAACGCCGCGUGAGCGAAGAAGGUCUUUGGAUCGUAAAGCUCUGUCCUCAGGGAAGAACACAAUGACGGUACCUGAGGAGGAAGCCCCGGCUAACUACGUGCCAGCAGCCGCGGUAAUACGUAGGGGGCAAGCGUUAUCCGGAAUUAUUGGGCGUAAAGAGUAUGUAGGUGGUUUCUUAAGCGCAUGGUUUAAGGCAACGGCUCAACCGUUGUUCGCCGUGCGAACUGAGAGACUUGAGUGCAGGAGAGGAAAGUGGAAUUCCUAGUGUAGCGGUGAAAUGCGUAGAUAUUAGGAGGAACACCAGUGGCGAAGGCGGCUUUCUGGACUGUAACUGACACUGAGAUACGAAAGCGUGGGGAGCAAACAGGAUUAGAUACCCUGGUAGUCCACGCCGUAAACGAUGAGCACUAGGUGUCGGGGUCGCAAGGCUUCGGUGCCGCAGUUAACGCAUUAAGUGCUCCGCCUGGGGAGUACGCACGCAAGUGUAAAACUCAAAGGAAUUGACGGGACCCGCACAAGCAGCGGAGCAUGUGGUUUAAUCCGAAGCAACGCGAGAUCUUACCAGGCUGACAUCCUUCUGACCGGUCUAAUCGACUUUCUCGACA